rnacentral:misc_RNA from 1 species
GAAAUGCGAUACGUAGUGUGAAUUGCAGGAAUAAGUGAAUCAUCAAACCUUUGAACGCAAGUUGCGCCUCUGGGUCCUCCCAGAGGCACGCUUGUUUGAGCGUCACCCCCAAUUCUCAAAGAAAAACACCUCUACAAGGGUUUUUUUUUUGGUCUCGGACUCCACUGCAGUCACUCUGCAGCGCAGUCUCAGUUCCAUGCUGGCUUGAGCAACUUAUUCUCUUCACUGAGAACCUGAAGUUUGGUGAGUUUUUACACUCGUCCACUCUCCAGCCUCGAGAGGAGUUGGUUGCUUGUAUGCCCUGGAAGGGAAGUGAACUUUUUGGUUCACACAACCAUUUCCAAUCCAGUGACCUCAAAUCAAGCGGAGAUACCCGCUGAAUUUAA